rnacentral:tRNA from 1 species
AUUUAUAUAGUUUAAAGAAAACUUUACAUUUUCACUGUAAGAUUGGAAUUAUUAUUCUUAUAAAUA